rnacentral:tRNA from 1 species
GGCGUGUGAACCUGACGGCCGGGUAGCGCUCUGCAAAAGCGCGUAAACGGGUUCGACUCCCGUACACGCCU